AGUGAACGCUGGCGGUAGGCCUAACACAUGCAAGUCGAACGGCAGCACAGUAAGAGCUUGCUCUUACGGGUGGCGAGUGGCGGACGGGUGAGGAAUACAUCGGAAUCUACUUUUUCGUGGGGGAUAACGUAGGGAAACUUACGCUAAUACCGCAUACGACCUACGGGUGAAAGCAGGGGAUCUUCGGACCUUGCGCGAUUGAAUGAGCCGAUGUCGGAUUAGCUAGUUGGCGGGGUAAAGGCCCACCAAGGCGACGAUCCGUAGCUGGUCUGAGAGGAUGAUCAGCAACACUGGAACUGAGACACGGUCCAGACUCCUACGGGAGGCAGCAGUGGGGAAUAUUGGACAAUGGGCGCAAGCCUGAUCCAGCAUACCGCGUGGGUGAAGAAGGCCUUCGGGUUGUAAAGCCCUUUUGUUGGGAAAGAAAAGCAGCAGGUUAAUACCCCGCUGUUCUGACGGUACCCAAAGAAUAAGCACCGGCUAACUUCGUG
rnacentral:rRNA from 1 species